CUCCCCUUGGUGUAGUUGGUUCAUCACGUUCGACUGUAAUAUCAUUGCUCAUCGAAAGGUCCCCAGUUCGAUUCUGGUAUGUCAUA